rnacentral:rRNA from 1 species
UACGUAGGGGGCAAGCGUUGUCCGGAUUUACUGGGCGUAAAGCGCGCGUAGGCGGAACGUUAAGUCCGGUCUGAAAGCCCCCGGCUCAACCGGGGAGGGUGGCUGGAAACUGGCGUUCUUGAGGGCGAGAGAGGAGGGUGGAAUUCCUGGUGUAGCGGUGAAAUGCGUAGAGAUCAGGAGGAACACCCGUGGCGAAAGCGGCUCUCUGGGACGGUACUGACGCUGAGACGCGAAAGCGUGGGGAGCGAACAGG